rnacentral:rRNA from 1 species
CUUCGGAUAGAGAGACCGGCGCACGGGUGCGUAACGCGUAUGCAAUCUACCUUUUACAGAGGGAUAGCCCAGAGAAAUUUGGAUUAAUACCUCAUAGUAUAGCUGAAUCGCAUGAUUCUACUAUUAAAGUCACAACGGUAAAAGAUGAGCAUGCGUCCCAUUAGCUAGUUGGUAAGGUAACGGCUUACCAAGGCUACGAUGGGUAGGGGUCCUGAGAGGGAGAUCCCCCACACUGGUACUGAGACACGGACCAGACUCCUACGGGAGGCAGCAGUGAGGAAUAUUGGACAAUGGGCGCAAGCCUGAUCCAGCCAUGCCGCGUGCAGGAUGACGGUCCUAUGGAUUGUAAACUGCUUUUAUACGAGAAGAAACACUGCUUCGUGAAGCAGCUUGACGGUAUCGUAAGAAUAAGGAUCGGCUAACUCCGUGCCAGCAGCCGCGGUAAUACGGAGGAUCCAAGCGUUAUCCGGAAUCAUUGGGUUUAAAGGGUCCGUAGGCGGUUUAAUAAGUCAGUGGUGAAAGCCCAUCGCUCAACGGUGGAACGGCCAUUGAUACUGUUAAACUUGAAUUAUUAGGAAGUAACUAGAAUAUGUAGUGUAGCGGUGAAAUGCUUAGAGAUUACAUGGAAUACCAAUUGCGAAGGCAGGUUACUACUAAUGGAUUGACGCUGAUGG